rnacentral:misc_RNA from 1 species
GAAAUGCGAUACGUAAUGUGAAUUGCAAAUUCAGUGAAUCAUCGAGUCUUUGAACGCACAUUGCGCCCCCUGGUAUUUCGGGGGGCAUGCCUGUCCGAGCGUCAUUUCUGCCCUCAAGCACGGCUUGUGUGUUGGGCCCCGUCCUCCGAUCCCGGGGGACGGGCCCGAAAGGCAGCGGCGGCACCGCGUCCGGUCCUCGAGCGUAUGGGGCUUUGUCACCCGCUCUGUAGGCCCGGCCGGCGCUUGCCGAUCAACCCAAAUUUUUAUCCAGGUUGACCUCGGAUCAGGUAGGGAUACCCGCUGAACUUAAGC